UACGUAGGGUCGCAAGCGUUUGUCCGGAAUUACUGGGCGUAAAGAGCUCGUAGGUGGUUUGUCGCGUUGUUCGUGAAAACUCACAGCUUAACUGUGGGCGUGCGGGCGAUACGGGCAGACUUGAGUACUGCAGGGGAGACUGGAAUUCCUGGUGUAGCGGUGAAAUGCGCAGAUAUCAGGAGGAACACCGGUGGCGAAGGCGGUUCUCUGGGCCUUACCUGACGCUGAGGAGCGAAAGCGUGGGGAGCGAACAGG
rnacentral:rRNA from 1 species